AGAAUUUAUGGGGACUCUUCAACAUUUAUAUAAAACCUCUUCAACAGACGUGGAUACUGGAAACCCUACUUGAAGCACACAGAACAAUAAUUUUGCAAAUAAAAAAGAUUUUAGAAAAAUUGUCAGUGGGUACAGACGAGAUCUCUAAAACGUUUUACGAGCCUCUCGAUGGCUUUCCAUUGAAAUCAUUGGAAAACUUUUUUACUUUGAGAAUGAGACCAAAAUAAGUGAACGCAAUAAAUUGUGUCAUUAUUUACAAUCUUUGGGAGAUGUGAAAUUGAGAGAAUUUUGCAUACAUCUCUAAAACACAUAAUGACUGACAAAUUAGUUAAUCACUUCAAUAGGGAACUGAGAAGUUUGACAACACAAAAAUGUCUAAUUUAUUAUACAUUGCAGCACAGAAAUACUCGCUUUUUAAAGAUCCUAAAAAUAAGAUAGAAUUUAAGCAGAAAUGCUGGAGGCAUUUUUUAAAGCAACGAUAUCGCAAGAAAAUGAGACAAGUAAUUGCUGAGUUUGAGACGAAUCAGAAUCUACCAUUGAAUCCGAUACCAAA
rnacentral:lncRNA from 1 species